UACGGGAGGCAGCAGUGGGGAAUAUUGCACAAUGGGGAAACCCUGAUGCAGCGACGCAGCGUGCGGGAUGACGGCCUUCGGGUUGUAAACCGCUUUCAGCAGGGAAGAAGCGAAAGUGACGGUACCUGCAGAAGAAGUACCGGCUAACUACGUGCCAGCAGCCGCGGUAAUACGUAGGGUACGAGCGUUGUCCGGAAUUAUUGGGCGUAAAGAGCUCGUAGGUGGUUGGUCACGUCUGCUGUGGAAACGCAACGCUUAACGUUGCGCGGGCAGUGGGUACGGGCUGACUAGAGUGCAGUAGGGGAGUCUGGGAAUUCCUGGUGUAGCGGUGAAAUGCGCAGAUAUCAGGAGGAACACCGGUGGCGAAGGCGGGACUCUGGGCUGUAACUGACACUGAGGAGCGAAAGCAUGGGGAGCGAACAGGGAUUAGAUACC
rnacentral:rRNA from 1 species